rnacentral:rRNA from 1 species
UACGAAGGGGGGCUAGCGUUGUUCGGAAUUACUGGGCGUAAAGCGCACGUAGGCGGCUUUGUAAGUUAGAGGUGAAAGCCCGGGGCUCAACUCCGGAACUGCCUUUAAGACUGCAUCGCUUGAAUCCAGGAGAGGUGAGUGGAAUUCCGAGUGUAGAGGUGAAAUUCGUAGAUAUUCGCAAGAACACCAGUGGCGAAGGCGGCUCACUGGCCCGGUACUGACGCUGAGGUGCGAAAGCGUGGG